GGAACCUAUCACGAUGAUGAGCAGUUUUCCGGCAAAAUUUUCAACCGCCUCAUUGCUGGCAGUUUUCAUUCUUCUAAUAAGCGUUUGUUUAGGGAGCUCGGCUUCCUCAUCUUCGCCUGGUGGCGAUAAUGGAUUGCAGCAGUGGUUGUCCGGCUGUCAAGGUGACCCAAGAAAGUUGGUUCCGGGAAACAUAUACGGAGUGGGAUGUGAAAGAAAUGAGGAUAUUUUGGGGAAGAAUGAAGGCAGCUGGCAUCGGAGCUUAAGAGGAACCUUGGUCCGGCCCCCAACGCCCAUAAAGAACCCGAGUAGAUCUCAAUUUUAUUAUUCCCCUCCGCCUCUCUUCUGAGCUCUGAUUCCCCUUGCACCUGGCCGGGGUUGCUGCCUUGCCUGCCUCCGCCUGCCUUGAAAAUUGAGAUGUCUUCAUAUUUCUUUUGAAGCUAAAUAUAAUAAAAUAAUUCAGCACUCCAUUGUGAAUCA